rnacentral:rRNA from 1 species
UACAGAGGGUGCAAGCGUUGUUCGGAAUUAUUGGGCGUAAAGAGCUCGUAGGCGGUCUGUCGCGUCUGCUGUGAAAUCCCGAGGCUCAACCUCGGGCCUGCAGUGGGUACGGGCAGACUAGAGUGCGGUAGGGGAGAUUGGAAUUCCUGGUGUAGCGGUGGAAUGCGCAGAUAUCAGGAGGAACACCGAUGGCGGAAGGCAGAUCUCUGGCCGUAACUGACGCUGAGGAGCGAAAGCGUGGGGAGCGAACAG